UACGUAGGGGGGCUAGCGUUGUCCGGAAUCAUUGGGCGUAAAGCGCGCGUAGGCGGCCAGAUAAGUCCGGUGUGAAAGUCACAGGCUCAACCUGUGAAUGCCGCUGGAAACUGUCUGGCUAGAGUCCGGAAGAGGCGAGUGGAAUUCCUGGUGUAGCGGUGGAAUGCGCAGAUAUCAGGAGGAACACCAAUAGCAAGGCAGCUCGCUGGGACGUUACUGACACUGAGGCGCGAAAGCGUGGGGAGCGAACAGG
rnacentral:rRNA from 1 species